UGGGGAAUUUUGGACAAUGGGGGCAACCCUGAUCCAGCAAUGCCGCGUGUGUGAAGAAGGCCUUCGGGUUGUAAAGCACUUUUGUCCGGAAAGAAAACGCCGUGGUUAAUACCCGUGGCGGAUGACGGUACCGGAAGAAUAAGCACCGGCUAACUACGUGCCAGCAGCCGCGGUAAUACGUAGGGUGCAAGCGUUAAUCGGAAUUACUGGGCGUAAAGCGUGCGCAGGCGGUCCGCUAAGACAGAUGUGAAAUCCCCGGGCUUAACCUGGGAACUGCAUUUGUGACUGGCGGGCUAGAGUAUGGCAGAGGGGGGUAGAAUUCCACGUGUAGCAGUGAAAUGCGUAGAGAUGUGGAGGAAUACCGAUGGCGAAGGCAGCCCCCUGGGCCAAUACUGACGCUCAUGCACG
rnacentral:rRNA from 1 species